GAUGUAGACUUGUCUUGCCAACUCCAUUUGCUCUUCUGAAAUAAAUACUGGGCUGGAUUCCCUGUCAGAUUUAUGCUGUGCCCUGCGAAGAUGCAAUCGAGUGGAGAAAGUCGCCCAGAUUGUUUGAUCACAGAUUGUUCCCUUCUUCCCUUUUUCACAUCGCUGAUCCAAAUGACUUCCUUUUGCUCGCCGCAGUGCACCACUGUCUCCACCACAGUCCUUGUUUAGUAUGUGCAAACCGUUCACAGAGUGCAUGGAUGAAGGAGGGGAAGGGAGAACGCCGCAUUAGGAAGGCAUUGGAGAAAAAAAAGGUUGAAAUGGCUACACAGCCUCUUCAAGAUGUGCUGCAGGUGGUGCAAAAUCCAUCCCAUGAUCUCCAAGAAGGAACCAGAAAUAAGAAUAUAUCAGAGGCUCAAUGACCAGGGGAUGGACAUGACUGGUCCAGAUACUUCAGGGUUUGACCCUUUGAAAAUCAUUUACCCACCCAAAAAAUGGAAAAACAAAGGACUCAAAAAGUUUUGCAGCAAGUUGAAGGCUGCCAAGAAGGUACCGUGACCACAUUGCUCACUGCUUUUGAUGUGAAAGACUAGCACGGAGUCAGUGUGGUGCAGUGGAUUAGGGGGGCCCAAAGUGCUAGAUACCACUCUUAUUGGUGACAUGAAAAAUCUUUAAAAUUCCUGUUAACACCAUAA